rnacentral:rRNA from 1 species
UACGUAGGGUGCGAGCGUUGUCCGGAAUUAUUGGGCGUAAAGAGCUCGUAGGCGGUUUGUUGCGUCGGCCGUGAAAACCUGCAGCUUAACUGUGGGCCUGCGGCCGAUACGGGCAGACUUGAGUUCGGUAGGGGAGACUGGAAUUCCUGGUGUAGCGGUGAAAUGCGCAGAUAUCAGGAGGAACACCGGUGGCGAAGGCGGGUCUCUGGGCCGAUACUGACGCUGAGGAGCGAAAGCCAGGGGAGCAAACGGG